rnacentral:rRNA from 1 species
AUUGAACGCUGGCGGCAGGCCUAACACAUGCAAGUCGAACGGUAACAGGAAGCAGCUUGCUGCUUUGCUGACGAGUGGCGGACGGGUGAGUAAUGUCUGGGAAACUGCCCGAUGGAGGGGGAUAACUACUGGAAACGAUAGCUAAUACCGCAUAACGUCGCAAGACCAAAGAGGGGGACCUUAGGGCCUCUUGCCAUCGGAUGUGCCCAGAUGGGAUUAGCUAGUAGGUGGGGUAACGGCUCACCUAGGCGACGAUCCCUAGCUGGUCUGAGAGGAUGACCAGCCACACUGGAACUGAGACACGGUCCAGACUCCUACGGGAGGCAGCAGUGGGGAAUAUUGCACAAUGGGCGCAAGCCUGAUGCAGCCAUGCCGCGUGUAUGAAGAAGGCCUUCGGGUUGUAAAGUACUUUCAGCGGGGAGGAAGGGAGUAAAGUUAAUACCUUUGCUCAUUGACGUUACCCGCAGAAGAAGCACCGGCUAACUCCGUG